UCCAGUUCAUCCUACUGAGUUGGACAAAAGGUAUUUAAUAGUCUUGUUUUUCUAUUCUAUUAGAGACAAACUCAUAAUGACUGCAUCGUGGCUGUUGGCUGCCUUCGUGGUGGCGACCCGUGCUGCUCUCCUGCCAUUCUCUGCUGCUCAAGACAGCUGUAGUGCUAGAUGUGGUGAGCCAUUUGCUCGUGGUCAGCCCUGCUAGUGUGACGCCAGCUGCCUCCCUCAUGACGAGUGCUGCAAGGACUUUGAGGCUCUCUGCACUUCCGACACCAACAGCCCUUACCCUGGAUCCAGCAGCUCUAAGAGCCAGAGUGACUAUUGUCCAUUCUCCGAGGACCCAGCAUCCACUUUGAACCCUGACUUUUACCCUCUGACUGACCGCUUCAAUGGCCCCUCCACAGCCCCAGCCACUGUCAUGGAUAGUGAGUGUCAAGUGUUUGAUGAAGGUAUUGUCUGAGACAGUGGUAGAACAGCUAGUUAUUGUUUAUGUUUUGAGGUAGUCGAGCGACAAGAGCAAAGCUCUAUGCAUCUUAGUAGGCUCAGGAGUCCAAUGUUCUCUCUGAGUGAUGAUACAUUGUGUAGUCUAUUGCAUACCUGCUUUUGUUUGUUUGUAUGUACAUGUUCUAACGUCCUCCAUCUUGCCCCCUUAUCUCCUGUGAAGCCUUGAGUGAUGCAGCCACCAGUCUCUUGGAGGGCAUCUCAGCUCAACGGCCCCAGCACCCUGGCAGGCAUAGCCAAGGCCUUGGAGGUCAACAACCCAAACAAACCCCACAAAAGUCUACCAGCUAGGGACCUCAGGAUUAGAUACUAAUGUAAUGUUUCUCCCUCAGUCACUUUUGGGAUGUCUGCUCUGUUGUGAUGUAUAGUACAGCAUCAAUUGAUUGCUAAAAAAAAUAAAAAUGCAAUCACUCAAGUAAAUAUUUAGCUAUUAUACAGUAAACUAUAUGUAUGAUAUAUAGUAAAUAACACCUAAAUAUUCUUAACAAUUGUAAUGGCUUCUACCCACAUGGGUGUGUCCUCUUUACUCUAAUGCCAACAGUAACCCAGACCUCUGCAGUGACCUGCCAAUCAACAGACUGGCCAACAGAACCACUCAUCUUCAAGUGUGUUGAGCAUAGUGGCCGAGCUCAUGCCCAGCACUAUCCUACACAGCUCUCUCCUAUCUCACUUAUUACUUAGUAAAUGUUUAUGAAGGUCAAGUAGCUUUUCCAAAGCAACAGACUUGAUACAUUAUCUAAUGAUUGUGGUUUGGUUUCCCCCAACCAUGUCAUUUCCUCUGGACGAUGGACCCCAGGACCAAGGCCCUUUGCCCAGCCCGCAACGUCACGGAGGAGUUUGGCAUUCCGUCCCCUAUCGACAGUGCCGUCACCCGCACCAACUGCCAGGGCAAGAGCUACCUCAUCAAGAUACUGUAGAACUGCAGAGGAAAAACCUAGAACCUGAGAGAAGUUCAAAGGGUUGGGGCAGUGGAGAUGCCUUGGUGGAACUAAAUGGCAACACUUUUGUCCCAAUCUCUUUUCCAUGUAAGGCUACUGGAGGAUGGACAAUGGCAAGAUGGAGCCUGGUUACCCCAAAUCUGUUGCCUCUAGUUUGAUGGUCUGACUGGCAACAUCACAGCAGCCCUGUCUGUGCCUGUCACCAAGAGAAGGCCCGAGUCGGUCUACUUCUUCAAGAAAAGAGUAGAGAGCUUUGAGGAUUACCACUACCUAACCUACUCCCAUUGCUUUACACCAAUGAGCUUGCUUCACUCAAUCCUAAUUGACCAUUUCUUUUUCACAGGAGGCACCAUGCAGAAAUACUCCUACCCUGCUGGAAGUAGCCCAGUCUGUGGCAAGAAAUCCAAGUCCAGUAACCAGAAACACCACGGUCGCAGAGCAGAGGUGCAUCUGGGAGUAGAGAUUAACAUCGAGCCGUCUCUGAAAGGCUUCCCCUCCUCAGUGGCGUCUGUCCCCAGCGCCAAGAAGGCCGACAGAUACAAAUACUUCCUCUCUGCUGGACUCAAGUCUUAGUCUGAGGGAUUGUACAUCUGAUAUCUUGGUUGUAUCAUGGAAAUGGGGUUACUGCAGUUCAAAAGACAGACGUAAUGUACACAUACACAUUUAAGAAAUGUAUCAUUCUUACGCCGAUGCUGCGUUUGACAUGCGGUUUGCAAAACAUUAAGAACACCUGCUCUUUCCAUAACCGACUGCCCAGGUUGAAAAGCUAUGAUCCCUUGAGGUCACUUGUUAAACACACUUUAGUGUUUAUGAAGGGGAGGAGACAGGUUAAAGAAAAAUGUGCAUUGUUUGCAUGUCCUAUUCAGACGGUGAAUGGGCAAGAUAAGAGAUUUAAGUGCCUUUGAACCACAAGCGGCAGUUGCCACAUUAAUUUGAGAGGACGGGCUCACAGUAAUGGCUGGAAUGGAAUUAAUGGAAUGGUAUCAAACAUGUUUUGACUUCGAGAGAAACAGAAUACGCAAUGUGUAAAUGACCGGUCACUUGGGAUAAAAACUAAUACUAAAAAGUCAAAAUGCUCAUCUAAAAGCAAAAGUUAUGUUGGAAAGGUAGUUAUUUAUAAUCUAUAUAGUAACAUGAACUCUAAUCCAUUUCAGCGCUCUACUUUAACAUCAAGAUAUCUGGUGACCUGCCUGCUCUGGCCAAACCAGACAACCCCGAUCCCCGCCAGAACUCCAUCAACUGGCUCAAGUGUGCCUAGAGUCACCCUAUGGAUGGACCACCGACAACGCACGACUACGACAAACAUUUGAUUUUUCUCAAAGUUUAUUAGCAAAAACAAAUGCAAUGGAACAAUCACUCAUCUUGAAACAAAUACAAAACAAAAAUGUACGCUUUUAAAGCACAUGGUAUCCACUGACACAAAGUUAGGGAAGAAAGGUCAAUCACAAAUUAGUUGGAUUUUUUAAGUAGACCAAGACACUAUGAUUGAUAGUUGGGAUGAAGGGCAGGGGAUGGAGCAGUGCAUGAUGGCAUCAUUAGCGGGGUAGGUUUCCUCUACCGAAGGGGCCUCUUCCUGCUCGAAGGAAGCCCAUACCUUGAAUGGAGGAGGCGAAAAGAGUCAAGUUCCAUCUUACCCAUCAUUCAAAAUGGCCACUUCAUGACACUUGUAACACUGUUGUGCUGCUUUAGAUUGGGUCACUAUAGCUUCUUUGAAGAUUGUUUUGAUGUGCGUUGAAAUAAUUACCUCUAAACUGUCAGUGCUAAGUUCAAACAGAAAACAUUUUACAAGACCAAGUUAAAACCAUACCUGCUGGAGGGGCUUAAGUAUCUCUCGCAUGACAGCAACCCUGCUCCAACUAUACUUGCAGCACAUGUACUCCAACAUAUCAAACAAAAGUCUACAAUGUGUGCUUUAUGUCCCCUACUUUCACUUGCUUAUCAAAAAAAUAUAAAAAA